AUUGAACGCUGGCGGAAUGCUUUACACAUGCAAGUCGAGCGGCAGCGGCGGGGGCAACCCUGGCGGCGAGCGGCGAACGGGUGAGUAACAUAUCGGAACGUACCCUGUCGUGGGGGAUAACUAUCCGAAAGGAUAGCUAAUACCGCAUACGACCUGAGGGUGAAAGCGGGGGACCGCAAGGCCUCGCGCGAUAGGAGCGGCCGAUAUCGGAUUAGCUAGUUGGUGAGGUAAAGGCUCACCAAGGCGACGGUCCGUAGCGGGUCUGAGAGGACGACCCGCCACACUGGAACUGAGACACGGUCCAGACUCCUACGGGAGGCAGCAGUGGGGAAUUUUGGACAAUGGGGGCAACCCUGAUCCAGCCAUUCCGCGUGAGUGAAGAAGGCCUUCGGGUUGUAAAGCUCUUUCAGCAGGAACGAAACGGUGAGGGUUAAUACCCUUUACUAAUGACGGUACCUGAAGAAGAAGCACCGGCUAACUACGUGCCAGCAGCCGCGGUAAAGUGUGACUG
rnacentral:rRNA from 1 species